rnacentral:rRNA from 1 species
AGAGUUUGAUCCUGGCUCAGGAUGAACGCUAGCGGCAGGCUUAACACAUGCAAGUCGAGGGGCAGCAUGUCCAGCAAUGGAUGAUGGCGACCGGCGGAAGGGUGCGUAACGCGUGAGCAACAUGCCCUAUACAGGGAGAUACACCAGGGAAACUUGGUCUAAUAUCCCAUAGCAUUCAUUGAAGGCAUCUUUAAUGAAUUAAAGCUUCGGUGGUAUAGGAUUGGCUCGCGUGACAUUAGCCAGAUGGUGAGGUAACGGCUCACCAUAGCAAUGAUGUCUAGGGGUUUUGAGAGGAAGGCCCCCCACACUGGGACUGAGACACGGCCCAGACUCCUACGGGAGGCAGCAGUGAGGAAUAUUGGACAAUGGAUGGAAAUCUGAUCCAGCCAUGCCGCGUGCAGGAAGACGGCCUUAUGGGUUGUAAACUGCUUUUAUACGGGAGCAAUAAGGGUUACGAGUAAUCCGAUGAGAGUACUGUAUGAAUAAGGAUCGGCUAACUCCGUGCCAGCAGCCGCGGUAAUACGGAGGAUCCGAGCGUUAUCCGGAAUUAUUGGGUUUAAAGGGUGCGUAGGCGGCCAUUUAAGUCAGCGGUGAAAUUUUGCAGCUUAACUGUAACAGUGCCGUUGAUACUGUUUGGCUAGGAUUUGGUUGUAGUGUGCGGAAUGUGUGGUGUAGCGGUGAAAUGCUUAGAUAUCACACAGAACACCGAUUGCGAAGGCAGCACACUAAGUCAUUAUUGACGCUGAGGCACGAAAGUGUGGGGAUCAAACAGGAUUAGAUACCCUGGUAGUCCACACUGUAAACGAUGAUAACUCGCUGUCGGCGAUACACAGUCGGUGGCCAAGCGAAAGCAUUAAGUUAUCCACCUGGGGAGUACGACCGCAAGGUUGAAACUCAAAGGAAUUGACGGGGGCCCGCACAAGCGGAGGAACAUGUGGUUUAAUUCGACGCAACGCGAAGAACCUUACCAGGGUUUGACAUCCUCUGACAGCAUAUGAAAGUAUGUUUUCCGGUUUAGGCCGGACAGAGAGACAGGUGGUGCAUGGUUGUCGUCAGCUCGUGUCGUGAGAUGUUGGGUUAAGUCCCGCAACGAGCGCAACCCCUACUGCCAGUUACUAACAGGUUAUGCUGAGGACUCUGGCGGAACUGCCGGUGACAAACCGGAGGAAGGUGGGGAUGACGUCAAGUCAUCAUGGCCCUUAUGUCCAGGGCUACACACGUGCUACAAUGGCCGGCACAGAGCGAUGCAACACCGCGAGGUUAUAGCAAAGCGCAAAAAACCGGCCGUAGUUCGGAUUGAAGUCUGAAACUCGACUUCAUGAAGGUGGAAUCGCUAGUAAUCGCGCAUCAGCACGGCGCCGUGAAUACGUUCCCGGGCCUUGUACUCACCGCCCGU